GGCUUGGUACUUGUACAUCCCUUCAUUGUGUUUUUGUUCUCGAAUUCUUGUCUUUCAUUUUGCUGUGCUUUGUCUAUAUUCCUUUUGGUGUUUCAUUGAUACAUAUGACGUGGCUCUGUACUUAUACAUCCCGUUAUUGUGAUAUUGUAAAACAUUUUUGUAUUCUUUUCAUUCAUUUUUUCUUAUGUGCUUGUGCUUUGUCAAUAUGCCUUUUUUUUAUGUUUCCUUGAUACAUAUACGACGUUGUUCUGUACUUAUACAUCU
rnacentral:lncRNA from 1 species